rnacentral:rRNA from 1 species
CGUGUCGUGAGAUGUUGGGUUAAGUCCCGCAACGAGCGCAACCCUUAAGCUUAGUUGCCAUCAUUAAGUUGGGCACUCUAAGUUGACUGCCGGUGACAAACCGGAGGAAGGUGGGGAUGACGUCAAAUCAUCAUGCCCCUUAUGAUUUGGGCUACACACGUGCUACAAUGGACAAUACAAAGGGCAGCGAAACCGCGAGGUCAAGCAAAUCCCAUAAAGUUGUUCUCAGUUCGGAUUGUAGUCUGCAACUCGACUACAUGAAGCUGGAAUCGCUAGUAAUCGUAGAUCAGCAUGCUACGGUGAAUACGUUCCCGGGUCUUGUACACACCGCCCGUCACACCACGAGAGUUUGUAACACCCGAAGCCGGUGGAGUAACCUUUUAGGAGCUAGCCGUCGAAGGUGGGACAAAUGAUUGGGGUGAAGUCGUAACAAGGUAGCCGUAUCGGAAGGUGCGGCUGGAUCACCUCCUUUCUA